CAAGUGGUGGUGCAGUGGUUAAGACGUCGGACUUCUGCUCGGAAGGUCGUGAGUUCAAAUUCAAACGUUGCC